UGUUGGCAUCAUAAAAUUUAAUUUUCAUUUUAAAUAAAAACACGAAAAAGGAAGAACAAAAAUUGUGAAAUUGACAAUCACAAAUUCAAGUACAUAUUUGUGUGAAGAAGAUGAUACAUGUACAUAAUGAUACCUCUUCCAAGAAUAUUCUGAUCCUGAUCAGUAAUUUCCUCAUAUCAUUGCGACUCACUUAAAAUACAAUCCAUGCAGCAAAAUAUAUUUUAACAAGGGGGGGGACAUUUCUGAGUUCCAAAUAAGAUAAAAUUAAAUAAACCUAUAAGACAUACCAAGGCCAUGUUAUAUGAAAGGUCCCUGAAUCCUCAUAUUUAUUGGCCAAUUACUAAAAUGACCAUGUAAUUCUUUGUAUAAAUACACAAUACACGUAUGGAUCAUCACCCCCCCCCCCCCCUCUUCAUAACAUAAAUAAACAUUACCAAAAUAUUCAAAACACACAUUCAUAAACUGGCCUGUUCACAUUUAUAAAUUUGCACAAAAAAUUGUGAAAAAAUGAAAACCAAGUUGCAUUAACAUUUUUCACGUAGAUGAUUUAAAUUCAUUCCUUCUGGAAAAUAUUACAAAAAUAUUGCGAACUUCCAGUUGCAUUUUGCAAUACAUAGCUAUAAUGUCACAGGAAAAAGUUAGAAUUAUAUUAACAAUCAUCUUUGCCAUCCACAGGAGGUGCUUUCUUCAAAAAUAAAAAGCCAAAUGUAAAUCACAAUACCCGUAGCCUGCCAUCAAUUAUACAAGUUAGCUUUCAUUGGUGGGAAAAUGUUCACAUAAACUGCAUUCCUAACAGAAAAGCAAGCAUAAAAUAUUUAUGGUAUUGAAGUUACCUGGAAAAACCCAGGAAAAUGGAGGUGUACAAUCAAAGAGUUACAGCUACAGCUCAAUUUAGUGACUUAUGAGAAAUUGUAUGUUUGACGUGACAGUCUGCAGACACCUAGGAUCAGAUGAUGUGCCAAAAAUUAUUUACUUUUCUGUUGUGAACACUUUAAUAGAUAGAUAAUUACCACAAAUGGAGUACCAGGAAAACCUUGUCAGUAAGGGCAAUAAAUUUCUGACCUCCAAAAGAGGUCGAAUGUCAUCAACAUUUUCCUUGAAUCCUAUCCCGUAAAAAAAUAGUGGGCAAGCAACUCCCCC